ensembl:snRNA U2 U2 spliceosomal RNA
AUCACUUCUUGUCCUUUUGGCUAAGGUGAAAUGCGAUUACCUUUUCUUCUCAGUUUAGUAUCAGACACAUCCUCUAUUUGAGGACAACAUACUAAAUGGACUUUUGGAACUAGACAGAAUGGAAACUUUCUCUGACUACUCCAUUAAGUGAUCUGCUAUUGUAGCAACUCUGGGGAACCCUUCUUAGUGGGGGUAUGGACUU